rnacentral:lncRNA from 1 species
CUUCAGAGUCAAAAGGUAAGGAGCUCUCCCAGUGAAACGGGACACCACCAUUUCCAGGACCCAAGGCCUUGGCGAUUGAACCAUGGUGCAGCUCCCAUUCCGAAGCAGCUGGCCGGUGACAAAGGCGCCAGUCUGCAGCCUGAAGGUGCCCUGGGAGAGUCUGACUUGGGCUGAAGAUGUGACCAAGGCGAACCAAGGCUUUAGGACACCCCGGAUCCUGAAGAUGCAUCCCCAGACUUCAGGAUGGAGGUUAGCAUGGGACCCAUCCAUGCCCACUGCUCCCUCAUUCAUAAAAUAAUACUUAUUGAAUACCUUCUGUGUGCUGUACAUUGGCUGUUUAAAAUACAUCAGAAAAGGAAGCAGCUGGGCACAGUAAUGACACAUGCCUGUAAUACCAGCAACUUUGGAGGCUGAGGCAGGAAAAUCACCAGUUCAAACAAAGCCAGCCUGAGCAAAUUAGCAUGGUCCUAAGCAACUUAGAGAGACCCUGUCUCAAAAUUAAAAUA